CAACGGGAUUCCCUGUAAUGUGAAGUGCAGCAUGAACAUCAUACGCAGGUUUUAACAGAAAAUAUUUUCAUAUUAUAAGCUCUGCUUUCGUUCUAAUCUGUUUCAAUAUAUCAUAUAUAUAACAGAAUUUUUGUACAAUCUGAAAAAUGGAAUUAAGCAAAAAUGUACAACUUUUUUUAAAGUUUCUCUGGAACUGAAGAAUAUAAGCCGCUCAUCAUAAAAAAAUUUCCUCAGCAUGGACAGUGAUCAAGAGGAGCAGUAUGCUAAAUCCCUCAGACUGUCCAGGGUGCUCGAGGAUAUUGGGAUCAACAGAAAGAUGGUCGAACUGAGGAGACAAACUUGGUUGGUGAAUGAGACACAUUAUACAGUCCACAGUACUAUCUUCGAAAAUAUAAAAAGAGAUUAUUUCCACUUUGGAAGCCAAAGCGAAGGAACGACGACAUUAGGUAUGAAUUCAGAUAUUGAUCUUUUAUGUUGUACACAGUUUCCUGUUCUUCUUGACUCAGCUGAAAGGCAAACUAGUCCAAGUGGUUACCUCCUGGUGCUAAAGAAUAAACAAUCCCCACCCCAACACUGCAACCUCCAACUACUGGGGGACGCCAUUCGUCAAAUGCUAGCAAUUUGGGACAAGUUAAGCUUUCCAAGAAAUGGUGGACGUGAAUAAAGAUGGCAGAGCGCUCCUUAAUAUUUUACAGUCAUACGAAAAAAAAAUGGGGAGAUAUUUUUAUCAAAAAGGGUCCAUCAAUUACACCCAUAAAUAAGAAUUUUGAUAUGGUGAAUGGUUUUCAUUGCGCACAGUUACCCAUGGAAUGUCAGUUUCUGUUCAACAGACCACGGCCAGGACACUAUCCAAGACCUGAGAUACUGUCAAAGGCAAGCAAGAAAGGAGUAUUUCUGCUUCCACAAGGACAUGCUGAAAGUAGUUACCCACAACUGGAGUGGAGAUUCUCUACCUCACAUAUGGAAAGACUCCUAAUGUUUGACUUGAAUAUUGAUCAGAUAAAGGUCUACACAGUCCUUAAAAUAUUAAGGAAAAUAUAUUUCAAUCCUGAUUUUGAGGACAGGUUAAGCACAUUCCACUUUAAAACAGCCUUAUUGUUCACAUUGGAGACCUAUCCAUCCUCGAUCUGGAAAAAGAUGAACUUGCUACAGUGUGUCAUCUACUGUCUUACCACACUAAGGCGCUGGUGUAGAAUUGCCUACUGUCCACAUUACACAAUCUCUGAUGUGAACUUGUUUCUGGGAAAACUAAGCAAGUUUGAGAUGGACCGUAUCACGUCAAUGUUAUCAGACAUGAUAGAAAAUCUUCCAGUUUAUGUGGUCAAAAUUGAGAUGGAUGAUAUUGGAAAGAGAAUCUUAGAAUUACCAGUAACUGGAAUCAAGCUGUCACAGCCGCAAACAAAACCAAGAUACAGUGACAGUACACUAGGCAUUUGGCAAAUAUGUUUCAAAAUAUUUUGUGCAAUUAUUUUUCGAUUACUUGCGGUGAUUGAAACAAACGAAACUGUUAAGGGACUGUUGGAGAAAUUUGCUUCUUUGGUAACAAAAUACACAAGAUUAAUGCAAAAUGACAAUGCAUCCUUCAGAGAUGCAUAUGGUUUCAUGGUAAAGUUAAUCAGUAGUACCUCAGCUUCUGUCGAGAGUUCCAUGCUUAUUGAAACAAACCAACCAAUCAGCCAAGAAAUAUACAGCCGGUACCAAGCAAAUCUGGAUUCAGAUCGGACUUCAAGCAGACUGAAGUUUGCGUCCAUGUUGUACUGUACUGGCCAGUAUGAGAAGGCAGCCGCAAUGUUGGAUCACACUGAAGGGCCGCUGCAUCCAGAUGUGUUGCAGUUGUGUCCAGGUACAAUACAGUUUAAACCUACAGAUAACUUCUUAUGCAAAGCCCUCGACCAGCCUGUUUCAGAAGUUCUGAGAUCAUCAGUGGCUUUGAGUGUAUUUUUUCUCCGCCAGGAACUGAACUGCGUGCCUAAACAUUUAGUUUACGAAAUGUACAGAACAUUCACACAUGCAGACGAUUUACAUAACAAGAAAAAGGAUCAUCACUUAACAAACAAAGCCAACAUUGACUCCAUUCCCUUCCUCUUCUACCUGCAGUAUCUCACUUACAGACAGCUUGGGAAACAUGAAAAAAAGAAUGCAGCAAAAGUGAAACUCUUUCUACUCUUCUUACAUAGCCAAAAUAGUAAUGCUUAUGUCUACACGGAGACAUCACUGCAUAUGCUUGGACACUGCAUGGAAUUAGAAGGCUGUCUAGACUUGGCUUGGGGGUUAUAUUCAAAAUCUCUUAAGGCCAUGCCCAACAACAAUGCAGCCAUCUGGCACAUGGCCAUUAUGUUGAACAAAAAAGUCAACCAAUGAUUGUUUUCUACAAAAAAAUAGCUUGGAAUUGACCAUUCAGUCAUGACACCUUAACAAUCCUCCAAAAUAGCACAUUAAGAGGGAAAUAUUAAGCUCCAGUAUAAUGUUUACUGUAUGAGUUCAAAACACAUAAUUAUGUCCAAUAUUUUUUUUCAAAAGGUGAAUACAUGUGCUUUCCAAUUGAGACAGUGUAAACACUAAAUGUUUUCAAUGCAAUUUGAAAUGAAAAUGAUGGUUUACAUAUUUUAUCUCAUGCUUUUCAGAGGUUUAAUUUAGGAUGGAAUUGCGAGGUUGAUGUCAUUAUUUAGGUAUGAACACAAUGGGCUGGUCAUAGUGUGUUGAGUCCGAAGGACUCCACGCUUACUUUGACCAGCCAAAUUGUGUUCAUAUCCCAGAUAAUGACAUCAACCCUGCAAUUCAUUCCUUAUAUUUACACCAAUAGUUCAUUAUUUCAUUCAAGAAUUGUUAAAACAAGAGCCGUCGUAAGACAGCGCGCUCGACUACGCCGCUUUGACUUAGAAUACAAUAAUGAUGUUAUAAUACCAAGUUUGGUCUCUUUAUGUCAAACCUAACUAAAAUUAUUCGAUACAUAAAGUGACUUUGAUGCAGCCCUCCCACCAGCCCGCCCAAUCAAUUACGCAAAUAACUUGAUUUCCCAUUAUGAAAAUGUGGUUAAGAAUAUACAAAUAUGCCUUUCAAAGGAAAUUAAAAAAAAUAAAAAAAAAUUCAAGGGCCAUAAUUUGUACCGUAAAUGACUGGGUAUAAGAUGAUAGGGGGUAUUAGACGCAGGGAAAAAAAUAUGUGAAAAGUCCGAGAAAAAAACUUUUAAUCUAUGUUUUUGGUUAAAAGACGCAUAGAAAAAUGUCAAAAUCGUCUGGCAUUUUCGGCCACCAUGUUUGUUGACAGUGACAAUGGCGAUGGUUAUCUUUAAAACCAUACAACCAUACUGUUGAGAAUGAAAAGUUAAGCUAUACAAAAACCUUAUAUUGUACGGGUUUGUUCUCAAAAUGUCAACACCUACAGAAAAGAAUAAAGAACGUGACAAAGUGCAAAAAACAAGACCAUUAUCGCAACAGUUUGUAGUAUUGGUAUGUUAAACAGGUUAAAGGCAGUAAAGUUUUUCGCACCUUAUCAUACAACUGACAAAAAAUAUUUUGACAGUGCCCAACUUUGCUUUUUUAUAUGCAAGUUUGAUUAUUGUUCAAUUCAAUUUAUUAUUCAAAAUAAUAUUGAAUAACUUGAAGUUAUAAACGUCUUACGAUAUACCGUAUCCCGAUCUUCAACUGCCGUUUUAACCCGUAUAUACUCGAUCAAUAUGACGCGAGUAACAUCCCAUUCUACAUAAAUCUAAACAAACUCUCGGCUUGAAAUUGACCUCAGAAAAAAGUUCAAAAAAUUGUUAUUGGGUAUUAUACGCAGGCAUUUUUUUGCAUCGAAAUCUGAGGGAAAAAAAACGUCUAAUACCCAGUCAUUUACGGUAUUUAGGCUUAAAACGGAGUUAUGUUUCUUGUUGUAAGAUGGUCGUAAAUAAUUUUAAAUUUUAUUAAGUGCAUUUAAUGAACGGUAUAGAAGUUUUUUAUUAAAAUCCCAACUUGCCUAAAACUUUAACCUAAGUCAAUCAGGGGCCAUAAUUUGUAUUAAGGAUAUGGAGUUAUGUAACCUCAUUGGGUGAUGGUCCUGAACAAUUGUGUGAAGUAUUAAGUCAAUUGAAUGAAGGGUAUAGAAGUUAUUAAACAAUAUCCAAACCUGCCCUAAAACUUUAACCUAAGUUCCUUAGUCAAUCAGGGGCCAUAAGUUGUAUAAAAGAUCAUAUGGAGUUAUCUAACCUCAUUAUGUGAUGGCUCUGAACAUCUGUGUGAAGUAUUAAGUCAAAUGAAUGAAUGGUAUUGGAGUUUUAAGUGAAAAUCCCAACUUGCCCUAAAACUUUAACCUGCCCUAAAACUUUAACCUAAGUCAAUCAGGGGCCAUAACUUGUAUUUAGGAAAAUAUGGAGUUAUGUAACCUCAUUGUGUGAUGGUCCUGAACAACUGUAAGAAGUAUUAAGUCAAUUGAACAAAGGAUAUAGAAGUUAUUAAUAAAUAUUCCAACUUGCCCUAAGACUUUAACCUAAGUUCCAUAGUCAAUCAGGGGCCAUAAUCUGUGUAAAGAGUAGUAUAGCCCACCUAUUCUUCGAAUAGUCGAGCUAAAAAUACUUCAUUUCAUUUAAGAAAACCCUUAAGUAAUCCUUUCUUACCCAUUCUGUAAAUAGAACGACCCAACUGUAACCGGAAAUACUUUUUCAAAUGACGUCAUAAUAACGUGGGAAAAGAUCAGCCACUUGAAAUCACUUUUAAAAGUAAACAUUUAUGGCAACAAUACUUUAAAAUAUAAUAAAUCAACACUUUCUUAAAUAAUGAUUUAUAUUCUAUACAAACAAUAACAAGAUCAAUAGUUUUCAUGUAUUUCGUAAUGCGAUGAAUUGCGAUCCAAACAUAUCCAAAUAUGUUGCUUUCAUCGAUUGAUAAAUUGCCGAAAGGCAGUUCAUUUAAGUAAUGGAAGUUGAGGUAUAAAUAUUGAAAAAUAUUGCUGACCCACUUAAGAAAUAUAAAUUUUAUAAUCAUUUAAUUGUACUGAUUAAGUGAUUUUCAUUGGAUCAAACGUGGUCACAUGACCAACGAUAAAUUGCCCUGUUGACUCAAAGGCGGAGCCUUAAACACGUCUUGACUUGAGUGAAUUGUCUCAUGUGCGAUUCUGGUACAAAACUGUUCCGUCAUAACUUUUCUUCAGUGUACUCUAAAAUUGCGUCUGGCAAGGUUUUGCUCACAGAGCAGUAAAAACAGCAAAUCCCAAUAAAGAAGGAUGCUGCAAAACCAACUGGGGAACCAAAACUGCUGUAGUAUGCUUAAAAGACUACUUGCGUAGUAAAAAUGUGCCACACAUAUUUGAAGAGCUGCCCUCUGAUGAUUUGAACCACUUGAUCAGUGGCUUUUAUUUAGAAGCAAGAAACAAGAACAGUGAACUAUUCAAAAAGUCAGCGCUUGUAAGCAUACAGGCACAGAUUACAGCGUCAUCUAAAACAUUUAAAAAUUAAAAAGGUGAACAUUUUGAAAGAAGAGGAUUUUAAAAUCUCAAAUAAUGUGUUUAAAUCUGAGGCUAAAGAACUGAAGAGACAGGGCAUGUCAGCCGUAGAGCACCACCAAGCAAUCACAGAUGACAACUUACAGCAGGUGUAUGAGUUUGUUACCAGCCAAGAUUCAGCUAAACAUUUGCAGUAUAAGGUGUUCCUGAACAUUAUGCUAUCCUUUGGAAGAAGAGGGUGGGAAAAUCUUGCGGGGUUAAGAGGGAUGGAUUUCGCAGUGACCAGAGAUGAUAAUGAAAUCAUGUAUGUUUACCUGACAAGAGACUUCCAGACGAAAAACCACCAAGACAACAAAUCAUCUGAUGGACACAUGUUUCAAAUAAAAGACAGUCACAGAUUUCCAUUGAAGCCAUUAGUCAAAUACAUGAGGCAUCUCAAGCCAAUAUGUCAAGCAUUUUUCCAAGUUCCCAGACCAGAGCCAAUUGAGAACAUCUUCUACAACAAUGUGCAUCCAGGAAACAACAAUUAUAUUCCAGACUGGGAAACUUUGUGAGAACUAUCAGUGAGGAGGCAGGACUGUCCAAAAUCUACACCAACCACUGUCUUCGUGCUACAACGGUUCACAUCUUAGAUAAAGCCCAGAUUCCAUCUUGACAUAUUAUGACAGUUACAGGCCACAAAAGUGAAUCAUCAUUAAAGACAUACUCCAGUUAAACAAGCACAGCAAAAAGGAAACUCAUGUCGGAAACAAAAAGUGCAAAAACAUAAGCAAGUGAUCAGGAAACUACCCCUAAUAUAGAAAGUGUAUACCUAGAACAACUCCAACUAUUGACAGCUUCCCAGUCUAUGGCUUUGAUGGAGGAAAUAGAAUCUUUCUACCACGACCAGGAAAAUGUUAAUGCUUUGAUUAAAACAGUGGACUGCUCAUCUCUAAAAGAUAUGUCUUUAAACAACAAAGUUGCAUCCGUUUCAAUUACAACAUCUCAUGAACACUUCAUAUAAGAAACCAUAGGGGGCAGAAACAAAGUAUCUUUAUUUAUUAUAGCCUAUAAUUUAUGUAUGUAAGAAACUGUUAAAUAGGACAAAGUCUAUGAUUGUUGUUUUGUGAAUUAUUGCUCCGUUUUGUUUGAAAAAAUGUAUCUUGAUACAUUUGUGAUAGUUAUACCAAGUAAAAUGUAAAUUUUAUGUUCAAUUGUUGAUAGUAAUGUUUUUUUAAUAAUUUGCACAUAUGUGAUAAUUGUAUACUGUUUUGUUCAGGCGAGAUUAAUCAUGAUAUAUCUGUUUUAGUUCUAUGUUUAUGCUGAAACCAAUGAUAAAUUCUUAAAAAUUUA